GAUGAACGCUGACAGAAUGCUUAACACAUGCAAGUCCACUUGAACUUCGGUUUGGGUGGCGGACGGGCGAGUAACGCGUAAAGAACUUGCCUCACAGAUAGGGACAACAUUUGGAAACGAAUGCUAAUACCUGAUAUUAUGAUUAUAUGGCAUCGUAUAAUUAUGAAAGCUAUAUGCGCUGUGAGAGAGCUUUGCGUCCCAUUAGCUAGUUGGAGAGGUAACGGCUCACCAAGGCGAUGAUGGGUAGCCGGCCUGAGAGGGUGAUCGGCCACAAGGGGACGGAGACACGGCCAUUACUCCUACGGGAGGCAGCAGUGGGGAAUAUUGGACAAUGGACCAAGAGUCUGAUCCAGCAAUUCUGUGUGCACGAUGAAGUUUUUCGGAAUGUAAAGUGCUUUCAGUUGGGAAGAAAAAAAUGACGGUACCAACAGAAGAAGUGACGGCUAAAUACGUG
rnacentral:rRNA from 1 species